UACCUGCUCAGGAUUGCACCCGAAGAGUUUCCAGUACUCUACCAGCCUCGGCUAUGGGAGGGAGAGUCAAGCAGAGGCAUACCAAUUCCAUUCCUAGCUUGGGCAGUGGCUAGCAAGUGGAAGGCAAUCUGCUACAGGU